UGGGGAAUUUUCCGCAAUGGGCGAAAGCCUGACGGAGCAAUACCGCGUGAGGGAGGAAGGCUCUUGGGUUGUAAACCUCUUUUCUCAGGGAAUAACAAAAUGAAGGUACCUGAGGAAUAAGCAUCGGCUAACUCCGUGCCAGCAGCCGCGGUAAUACGGAGGAUGCAAGCGUUAUCCGGAAUGAUUGGGCGUAAAGCGUCCGCAGGUGGUGUUGUAAGUCUGUUGUUAAAGCGUGCGGCUUAACCGCAUACAGGCGAUGGAAACUACAAGACUAGAGUGCGUUAGGGGUAGAGGGAAUUCCUGGUGUAGCGGUGAAAUGCGUAGAGAUCAGGAAGAACACCAGUGGCGAAGGCGCUCUACUAUGCCGCAACUGACACUGAGGGACGAAAGCUAGGGGAGCGAAUGGG
rnacentral:rRNA from 1 species